AGAUCGAACUGUAGAGUUUGAUCCUGGCUCAGAUUGAACGCUGGCGGCAUGCCUUACACAUGCAAGUCGAACGGUAACAGGUCUUCGGACGCUGACGAGUGGCGAACGGGUGAGUAAUACAUCGGAACGUGCCCAGUCGUGGGGGAUAACUACUCGAAAGAGUAGCUAAUACCGCAUACGAUCUGAGGAUGAAAGCGGGGGACCUUCGGGCCUCGCGCGAUUGGAGCGGCCGAUGGCAGAUUAGGUAGUUGGUGGGAUAAAAGCUUACCAAGCCGACGAUCUGUAGCUGGUCUGAGAGGACGACCAGCCACACUGGGACUGAGACACGGCCCAGACUCCUACGGGAGG
rnacentral:rRNA from 1 species